CUUUCUCCUACCCACAUCGGCCCCAAAUUGCGGCGCGACAUGCCUGGAGCCACCCGAGUUGAUGCCCUAGGACCCCAUUGUGAACGUGGGUUUGUGCAUAUCAUAGAGUACGACGUGGUGAAUUAAAGGGGAUGGUUCUUACUAGCAAUCGAGAUAACAAGGGGCCCUAGAAUAGUGCUUGGCAGCUCUGCGGGGAAGCUUGGCAAUGGUGAGGAAUCCCUAAGACUCUGAGUAGUCGAUGUGCGCGACGCCGCUAUGUACAGGUUCUCAGAGACCCAGAGGAACACCCACACCCCACAGGGGACCCUAGCUAGCAGCGAAGGCAUAGGGACACCGUGGCGGCCAUUUCCCUCUCAUCUCACCUCACCUCCCUGUGCUCGGUAAUGGCAUCUUCACCCACGGCAAGCUACCCCUACAAGAUCCUAUGGCCAAGGAAAGGUGCGGCCGGACCUAUAUAUCCUCCUAGGCCAGCAAGUUGGAAGGGGGCAUGCACUGCGGAGCGCGGCCAAAGACUCUGGGUUUCGGUUUUGCUGGAACGGACAAGAGGGAGAUGGAAGAUCUGACAGGUGUGGCCCAUAAGUCAGCGUCAGUGAGAGGGCGACACGCAGUGUGUGGGGCGACUGACAACGCAGGUCCGCCAGUCUUUCACCCUUCUUUUCUUUUCUUUUGUUUUAAUUUCAAUUCAAAAUUUGAAUUUGCUUUGAUAUUUAGAUUUUAGUUUAAAUUCACCAAUC
rnacentral:lncRNA from 7 species